rnacentral:rRNA from 1 species
GGAGAACGCAGGCGGCGUGCUUAACACAUGCAAGUCGAACGAAGCAACUUAUCACGAUCCCUUCGGGGUGACGAUUUGUUGAGUGAGUGGCGGACGGGUGAGUAACGCGUGGGUAACCUGCCUUGUACAGGGGGACAACAGUUGGAAAAGACUGCUAAUACCGCAUAAGCGCACAGUAUCGCAUGAUACAGUGUGAAAAGUUUUUUCGGUACAAGAUGGACCCGCGUCUGAUUAGCUAGUUGGCGAGGUAACGGCCCACCAAAGCGACGAUCAGUAGCCGACCUGAGAGGGUGAUCGGCCACAUUGGGACUGAGACACGGCCCAAACUCCUACGGGAGGCAGCAGUGGGGAAUAUUGCACAAUGGGCGAAAGCCUGAUGCAGCGACGCCGCGUGAGCGAAGAAGUAUUUCGGUAUGUAAAGCUCUAUCAGCAGGAAGAUAAUGACAGUAC